CACGGCGAAGCCUAGCGCGCUUGGCGCGGAGCGGCCGCGGCCCCGGACGCGCAGGGGCUUCGCGGGGCGGAGCGAGCAGCGCCCACCCCCCGCGCGCGGCGCCCGGCUCCCGGCUCCCGCGGCCCGGGCUGCUCCCUCUGCCUCCUCCGCGCGUCAUGCGGCUCCGGCUGCAGGGAGCCGCGCCGAGCGCUCGGCCCCCUUUCCUCCCCUCCCCCUCUGAAUAUUCAUCGCUUCCUCCCGCCCGGGCGGGCCGAGCGACUCCCGUGCUCGGCGGCCCCUCGCCGCCCUCUCGCCGCGGCCCCCGCCCCCCCGGCGAGCCAGUGGGCGGUGGCGGGCCCCGGUGCAAGCACUAGCGUCUCCCCUCCCGCGGCCGGAGGAAGCGCCCCCUCCCUGCCCGCCCAGCCCUCCCACAUUCCUAGGACUCGGGACCCGGGACGCUGCUCCAACGGUCCAGAACUACAAGCCUGUGCCGAUGGACACUGGGCCGGGAAGUCAGGGAGCCUGCACCGAAGCUGGUCCAGCGAUUAGAGCCCCAGCUGGGGCACAUGGCAAGUCCAGCUGUGCUGUAUAGUAGCUGUGUAAUCCUACCUAGUUGUGUGACCUGGUGAGAGAUGCUUCACCUCUCUGGACGGCCCCUUGCUCUUGUCUAACAUGAAGAUACAACUGGCGAUAUGGCUGGCGAUUAAAUGAGAUCAUGGGUAAAGUCCAAAAGAGGGUGGGACACGGAGUGAGCCCAUCUGGCAGCUGUCAUCGCCAGGCCUGAUAUGAGAGGAGUUACAGAUUACCAGAUUACUACUGUGCCCAAGAGGAAACUGAAGAGCCCAGGCCACCGCACCAAGAAGUAACGAGAGACAGUACCAAACCAAGGCAUGCUAGGGAGGGAGAAAUUGAUUCAGACCAAGGGGAGAGGUGACACUUGAGCUGGGCUUUGAAGGGUGGUUGGGUUUCACCAGGCAGAUAAAGGGGAGCAACUCGGCAAGAAACCGAAGGCAGGUUCUUCAACCUUGGCCUUCUAAGAAUCAGGACUAGGAGGCUCAGUGUUGUGUUUGGGGAGACGUGAGCAGCCAAGAUAAUGAAAUGAUCCUAGUCUGGACACUGAGAACUGGCAUGCAGACCACCGGGUGUCCAAUCUGCCUCCAGACAUCCCUUGGGUCUCAGGAUCCCCUGCAAGAUGGGAACGAAGCUUCACGGAGAGACAGGUGUGAAAGGAAAAGGAUGCACCUGUCUUGUUCUUUGCCUUUGAUUAAACACACUCUGAUUAUCACAUCCCCCGGAGGAAUUGCGUUCCUCCCUAUCUCACCCUUCUUGAGCACGUGUCUUUUAAAAGCACUCAUGUCAGGAGGGUGUGGUGGUACACACCUUUUCUUUUCUUUUCUUUUUUUAAUUAAUUUUAUGUGCAUUAGUGUGAGGGUGUCAGCUCCCUUGGAGCUGGAGUUAUAGACAGUUGUGAGCUGCCAUGUGGGUGCUGGGAAUUGAACUUGUAUCACUCUAGAAGUGCAGCCAGCGCCCUUAACCACUGAGCCACCUCUCCAGCCCAGUGGUGCACACCUUUAAUCCCAGCACUUCGGAGGCAGAGGCAGGUGGAUCUAAGUUCUAGGCCAGCCUUGUCUACAUAGUGAGUUUCAGAACUGUUAGGAUUACAUAAUAAAGGGACCCUAGCUCAAAAAAAAAAAAAAAAAAGGCCUUGAUGUCCAUGGUACCCAGAGGAAAGGAAAUUAUAGCAUCUGUUCCUGAUAUCCACAGACCUUAUACUUCCAUCCGGGUUGCCACAGAUUCACAUCUUGGGUCUGCAAACAGCUGUGUGAAAUCCUGCACAAACUUUAUUUCCUCCUAGGUAAAAUGUAUGCCCCCCCCCUUUAGAGAGAGUCACCUCUUAAGAAUUAACAGCCUUUUCAGAGAAGAGGUUGAUAUGCGCAUAAUAAAUGGACCCAGAUGGACUGAUGCUCUGUAUGAGAAAUGAGCCCUGAACAGUAAUAGUUGUAAACUCCCGUGGGCAGGAUAUCCUCAUCUCCUCUGUGUACUCUGUGGCAUCUUGUUCAGUGCUCUGUCCAGAGUAGGAGCUGGAGCUUUUUGCAUGUGUGCGCUUACCUGAUGGGAACCUGGAUUCUCCUCAGUGAUAGACUGGGAAAGAACCCUAGCCCGAGGCAAAGGGAUUUCACAUGACUGGACUCUUGCGCAGCUAGUACGUCCCAGCUCAGGUGGUAUAGGCACCUCUUUGAUGAACCACAGCUUACCAGGCUUAACUCUGUUUAAUCACAGCUUUGUAUUUGUGGAGGUGUUUUGUUCUGUAAAAAGGUCUCAUGUAGCCCAGGCUGACCUCAAGCUCCAUAUAUACCUGAGGAUGAUCUUGAAUGUCUGAUCCUCUUCCCUCUGUCUCUUGAGGGCACCACCACCAUGCUGAGGAGUGAGCCCACAGCUUCAUGCAUGCUAGGCAAGCACCCUACCAAUUGAGCCAAAUCCCCUCUGUCUAUUUGAUUGCCUUCCUCGUGUAGUCUAAGUAAGCCACUCAAAGACAGGGUCUGUAUGUUGUCACUGUAUCCACAGCAUAUAGCAGUCAUUCCAGUUAUAAUACUUAUUUAACUAAACUAAGUAAAUGCCUUUGAAUAGCAAAAUAAAAUGCUAAUUACAUACCUAUACAACACACACACACACACACACACACACACCGGAUCCUAUUAGCUUUUGAGGAAUAAAUCUAUCAAAGUACAAUAUACAUUCUCCUUAAGAAUAUACAGUGUAAUAAUAUUUGACCUUUUUUAAAUCAUUUCCCCUCCACACAAAGGCAAGAAUAUAGGGGCAGGCACACAAAAACACCAAAACAAGAAGGCUACAUUACCAAGUGGCCUGGUAGGAGUGAGUGGGGAUCCUGGGGCCGGGGGGAGGCUGAGUCUUUCCUUAAACUCUAAAGGUUGAUACUAGGAAUCUGUAUUUUCAACCAGCCCUUUGGGGCGAUCUAUACUGCCAAAUAUGCUUAGAAAAUUCUAUUAAGUCACCUGUAUCGUGUCUCUGAUAACAAUUAUAUAGAAAGAGAUGUGUGGAUAAUAGAUAAAUAGGUAGAUAGAGGCUCAGUUACUUAUGCAAGGUCACACAGCUGCAUAUGAUAAAACCAGGAACUGAAACCGUUUCUCUCUUGGCACUCUGCCAUCAUACCUCACCUCUUGAUGUUUGUAGAUAAGAGCUGACGCCAAGUGCUCUUGUGUAUGGGCUGUAAUUGUUGCUUUUAUUGUUGUGUUCUCAAGCCUCAGUUUCCCACCAAUUUUAGAAUGUUAAGAGACAGAACUUGUGACUUUCCACUUCAAACACCCCACCCACACACACACACACACACAAAGUCCUUAAUGGUAAGUCUACAUGCUAGCAGAGGCAGGCCUGCUGGGCACCAGCCACAAACCAGGUCACCAGCCCCAUAGGGAGUUUCUUCAGCCUGGCAACCCUCUGUGUACUUUAAAAGCCACCAUGAGCAAACCAUUCUCCGAGGCCCUCCUAAGCGGAAUGGAAUGUUUGAGAGUCUGAUUAGCUAAUGCUGCAGGCAUGGCUGCGCCGAGACCUUCCUGCCCCGCUAACUUGAAUGGAAUCAGAAUGGAAAGGAAGAUUUUCAGAAAAAUCUUUAUUUAAAAAAAAAAAUAGAAGGAGAAGAAAAAUAAAGUAGCACUUUAUCUUCCUAAUAGUAACAGGAUGUUUCCUGUGGACCAAUAGUUGGGCUGUGGUUAAAACACCAUGUUUGUCCACCAGACCUCAAUUCCUCCUUCAGUAAAGCCUGAAUCACCUGCCCAGGUUCACAGCCUGGGAGUGCCGUGGUGGCCUCUUUGAUUUUGACUUGAAGCGCUUGCAUCCUUAAUCAUUUCCCUAAUUCUUCACAACUCCUACCCCGAGUGUGUGUGUGUGUUAUAAAAUACAAAGCUUGACUUCCACAAAGACAGUUGUGUGUGACACAUUUUUCAGUGCGGCCACCUGAAGAAGUGGGAGAGACAGUUGUUGCUUUCAAGGAUCUCCAGGAUUCCCUAGCCGGAUAAGCCCCACUAGCUUCUGUAUCCUCAGCCUACCUCCAAAGCUAGUAGGACCCACCUUAAACCUCCCAGGGACCCCAGGGUCUUCAUGUCCUGGCAGACCAAGAUUCAUAGUCUUAGAAUCCCUAGAGAGAGAGGAAAUAUCAAGGAAACUCAGGGCCUAAAGGACAAGGAGCUUUGUCCGAGGCUUGUGUGGUGGGGUAAGUAAUAGCCCCGUAGGCUCAUAGAUUUGAAUGCUUGGCCACUAGGGAGUGGCACUAUUUCAAAAGGAUUAGGAGGGGAGGAGUGGCCUUGCUGGAGGAAGUGCCGAUGGGGGGUGGGCUUUGAGAUUUCAAAAGCCCAUGCCAAUCCCUGAGUCUCUUUUGCUUCCUGCUGCCUUCAGACGGGGAUGUGGGUAGAAUUCUCAGCUACCAAGUCUGCCGGCCCCACUGCCCUGCUCUCUGCCAUGAAGAUAAUGGACUAAACCUCUAAAACUGUGCCUGUCUGUCUUCUAACAAGAGCCCGAAAGGGUGUGGUUCCAGGCUUCCAGCCGGCAGAGGACCUUCAUCACCGCCUCCUCUCCCCAGUCUCAUCCUCAGCUCUGCAGCAGAGCACCUGCUGACAUCUCCCCUUCCUCUCUGCCCCAUCACCAUGGAGCACACAGCUCUUCCUCUCCAAAUUUCCUUCCCCAAACUCAUUGCUUUAUGCCAGCAAGAGCUCCAACAUGCACUCCCUGGGAAAUAAAGAAAAAAAUUAAAGACUUUCUAGAAUUCAAUGAAAAUGAAGGCACAACAAACCCAAAUUUAUGGGACACAAUGAAAGCAGUGCUAAGAGGAGAGUUCAUAGAGCUAAGUGCCUUCAGAAAGAAAGUGGAGAGAGCUCAUACUAGCAACUUAACAGCUCACCUGAAAGCUCUGAAAAAAGAGAAGCAAACACACCCAAGAGGAGUACACAGCAGGAAAUAAUGAAACUCAGGGCUGAAAUCAAUAACCUAGAAACAAAGAACAAUACAGAGAAUCAACAAAACCAAGAGCUGUAUUUUUUUUUAAGAAAAUCAACUAGAUAGACAGGCCCUUAGCAAACAAACUAAAAGGCAGAGGGAGAGUAUCCAAAUUUAUAAAAUCAGAUAUGAAAAGGGAGGUAUAACAGGAGACACUGAGUAAAUCCAAAAAAUCAAUAUAUUGUGGUUCAAAACCUGUAUGCCACAAAAUUAGAAAAUCUAAACAAAAUGGAUGAUUUUCUUGAUAGAUAUCACUGACCACAGUUAAAUCAAGAUCAGGAUAACAAGUUAAAUAGACCUAUAACCCCUAAGGAAAUAGAAGCAGUCAUCAAAAGCCUCCCAACCAAAAAGAGCCCUGGACCAGAUGGUUUCAGCACAGAAUUCUACCAGACUUUCAAAGAAGAGCUAACACCAACACCCCCCAAACUACUCCACAAAACAGAAACAGAAGGAACAUUGCCAAACUCAUCCUAUAAGGCCACAAUCACCCUGAUACCUAAACCACAAAAAACACCCAACAAAGAAAGAUAAUUUCAGGUCAAUCUCCCUUAUGAACAUUGAUGCAAAAAUACUCAGUAAAAUAUUUGCAAACCAAAUCCAGGAACACAUCAAAAAUAUCAUCUACCAUGAUCAAGUAGGCUUCAUCCCAGGAAUGCAGGGAUGGUUCAACAUAUGAAAAUCUAUCAACCAUAUAAACAAACUGAAAAGGCCUUUGACAAAAUCCAACACCCCUUCAUGUUUAAACUCUUGGAGAGAUCAAGGCACAUACCUAAACACAAUAAAGGCAAUGUACAGCAAGCCAAUAGCCAACAUUAAGUUAAAUGGAGAGAAACUUAAAGCAUUUUCUCUAAAAUCAGGGAUAAGACAAGGCUGUCCACUCUCACCAUAUCUCUCUAAUAUAGUACUUGAAGUUCUAGCUGGAGCAAUAAGACAAGUAAAGGAGAUUGAGGAAUGAAAAUUGGAAGAGAAGAAGUCAAAGUAUCACUAAUCACAGACAAUAUGAUAGUAUACAUAAGUGACCCCCAAGAUUCUACCAGAGAACUCCUAAAGCUGAUAAACAUCUUCAGCAAAGUGUCUGGAUACAAAAUUAAAAGAGUCAGUAGCCCUCCUUUAUACAAGCGACAAAAGGGCUGAGAAAGAAAUUAGGGAAACAACACCCUUCACAAUAGCCACAAAUAAUAGAAAAUAUCUUGGUGUAACUCUACCCAAGCACAUGAAAGACCUGUAUGACAAGAACUACAAGUCUUUGAAGAAAGAAACUGAAGAAGACUUUAGAAGGUGGAAAGAUCUCCCAUGCUUGUAAAUCAGUAGGAUCAACAUAGUAAAAAUGGCCAUCCUGCCAAAAGCCAUCUGCAGAUUCAGUGUAAUUCCCAUCAAAAUUCCAACACAAUUCUUUUUUUUUAAGAAUCUUUUUUUUAAGAUUUUAUUUUAUUAUUUAUACAACAUUCUGCCUGCACACCAGAUCUUACUAUAGAUGGUUAUGAGCCACCAUGUGGUUGCUGGGAAUUGAACUCAGGACCUUUGGAAGAACAGCCAGCGUCCUUAACCUCUGAGCCAUCUCACCAGCCCCCCAACACAAUUCUUUACAGACCUGGAAAGAGCAACCAUUAACUUCAUAUGAAAAAAAUAAAAAAUAAAAGACCCAGGAUAGCCAAAACAAUUUUGUAUAAUAAAAGAACUUCUGGUGGUAUCAACAUCCCUGAUUUCAGUAUAUACUACAGAGAAAUAGUCAUAAAAUCUGCAUGGUCCUGGCAUAGAAACAGACAGGUUGAUGAAUGGAAAAGAACUGAAGACCCAGAAAUAAACCCACACUCCCACGGGCACUAGAUAUUCAACAAAGAAGCCAAACCAUACAAUGGAAAAAAGAAACCAUCUUCAAUAAAUGGUGCUGGUCUAACUGGAUGUCUGCAUGUAUAAAAAUACAUAUUUAUUUAUCACCCUGCACAAAACAGAACAUCAACAUCACAGGCUCUGAGAUCAAUAAUUACUAAUUGGGAUCUCAUGAAACUGAAAAGCUUCUGUAAGUCAAAGGACACUGCCAACGCAACAAAAUGGCAACCUACAGAUUGGGAAAAGAUCUUCACCAACCCUUACCAGACAGAGGGCUAAUAUCCAAAAUAUACAAAGAACUUAAGAAAUUAAACAUCGCCCAUGGCAAUUCAGUAUCCAAGUGGGUUCCAUUGUAAGAGGAACAGGGACUGUCUCUGACAUGAACUGAUUGGGCUGCUCUUUAAUUACUUCCCCUGAAGGGGAAGCAGCAUUACCAGGCCACAGAAGAAGACACUGCAGCCACUCCUGAUGAGACCUAAUUGACUAGGGUCAGAAGGAAGGAAAAGAAGACCUCCCGUAUCAGUGGACUUGGGGAGGGGCAUACAUGCAGAGAGUGGAGGAAGGGAGGGAUUGGGAUGGGAGGAGGGAGAGAGGGAACCACAGAGGGGAUACAAAGUGAAUAAAGUAUAAUUAAUAAAG